UAAAACGUAGGAGGCAAGCGUUAUCCGGAUUUACUGGGCGUAAAGCGCGUGCAGGCGGUCUGGUAAGUUGGAUGUGAAAUCUCCCGGCUCAACUGGGAGGGGUCAUUCAAUACUGCCAGACUUGAGGGCGGAAGAGGGGAGUGGAAUUUCCGGUGUAGUGGUGAAAUACGUAGAUAUCGGAAGGAACACCAGUGGCGAAGGCGGCUCUCUGGUCCGUGCCUGACGCUAAGACGCGAAAGCUAGGGUAGCGAAUGGGAUUAGAAACCCCAGUAGUCCUAGCUGUAAACGGUGGAUACUAGGUGUAGGGGGUAUUGACCCUCUCUGUGCCGAAGCUAACGCGUUAAGUAUCCCGCCUGGGGACUACGACCGCAAGGUUA
rnacentral:rRNA from 1 species